rnacentral:rRNA from 1 species
UACGUAGGCAGCAAGCGUUGUUCGGAGUUACUGGGCGUAAAGGGUGCGUAGGCGGUUUCGUAAGUUUGGUGUGAAAUCUCCCGGCUUAACUGGGAGGGUGCGCCGAAAACUGCGGGGCUGGAGUGUGGGAGAGGUAAGCGGAAUUCCUGGUGUAGCGGUGAAAUGCGUAGAUAUCAGGAGGAACACCGGCGGUGUAGACGGCUUACUGGACCAUGACUGACGCUGAGGCACGAAAGCGUGGGGAGCAAACAGG